ensembl:snoRNA SNORA74 Small nucleolar RNA SNORA74
CCCAGCUGUAGGAAACUGUCUAGCUUGCCUUCUUCCUAGGCAAGUAUUUCACUGCUGGGAGAAGAACAGCUAAUAGCUGGUGGGCAUUCUGGGCUUGGUUAAUGCCAAAUUUGUGUUAACUAUAUCCGAGUGCCAGCAUA